AACGAACGCUGGCGGCAGGCUUAACACAUGCAAGUCGAACAGGUGUAGCAAUACAUCAGUGGCAGACGGGUGAGUAACACGUGGGAACCUUCCUUGAGGUACGGAACAACGCAGGGAAACUUGUGCUAAUACCGUAUACGCUCUUGCGAGGAAAGAUUUAUCGCCUUUAGACGGGCCCGCGUAGGAUUAGGUAGUUGGUGAGGUAACGGCUCACCAAGCCUACGAUCCUUAGCUGAUCUGAGAGGAUGAUCAGCCACACUGGGACUGAGACACGGCCCAGACUCCUACGGGAGGCAGCAGUGGGGAAUCUUGGACAAUGGGCGCAAGCCUGAUCCAGCCAUGCCGCGUGAGUGAAGAAGGCCUUCGGGUUGUAAAGCUCUUUUGUCAGGGACGAUAAUGACGGUACCUGAAGAAUAAGCCCCGGCAAACUUCGUGCCAGCAGCCGCGGUAA
rnacentral:rRNA from 1 species